rnacentral:rRNA from 1 species
CCCUUAGAUGUUCUGGGCCGCACACGCGCUACACUGAAGGAGGCAGCGUGUACUCCUGGAUCGAAAGAUUUGGGUAACCCGCGAAUCUCCUUCGUGCUAGGGAUUGAGGUUUGCAAUUAUCCUUCAUGAACGAGGAAUUCCCAGUAAGUGCAAGACAUAAGCUUGCGCUGACUACGUCCCUGCCCUUUGUACACACCGCCCGUCGCUACUACCGAUUGAAUGAUUUAGUGAGGACUUCGGACUGGGACCGAUGCGGCUUUCGGGCUGCGUCGGUAUUCUGGAAAGAUGUCCAAACUGUAUCAUUUAGAGGAAGUAAAAGUCGUAACA